UACCUGAUUGAACCUGCCACCGGAGAUAUGCGCGUAUAAAAGAUUACCCCAUGCAUGUCUUCCAACUAUGUGUACACAUGAACCUGCGAACGGCUCAUUAUUAACACCCAUAAUCUACCCAGUUUUCGUAUCCCUCACGGAUAUCUGCGUUAAUUUUGGAGCUCAUACGUGCACCAACGUGCUGCUAUCGUAGUGUCCCGCACUUAUUAGAUCGAGGCCGAUUGGGCGACCCUUUUGGUGACUCUGAAUAUUUUUGCGGAUCGUAUGGUCUUGUACCGACGACGUACUGGUCCAGUGGGUGCUCUAUCACUAUUGAAUGGAAGUCUAUGUCGUCUUUCUAUGGGUUGUAACGGGCAACGGAAAAUUAUGAGUACCGACUCCGGAAAAGCUAGCCUU
rnacentral:ncRNA from 1 species